GCAACAACAAGAACUUCCACUAUGAUAAGGUGGGUACAAGAGAUACACAACUUCAACACUACAACAAACUUCCCCAUUAGCACCCUUUUUUUAGCCACCAAAAAGAAGAGAGGCUUAUGGAUCUCUCUCUCCUGCUGAGUCUCCACUGCGAAGACUCGGUUGAAGCUGACACCGGAACUGCUUUUAAUACCUCACACGAGAUCAGAUCUUCAUGUUGCUCGCUUUGUGCUUAGAAUUUCGAGCUCCGGUAAUGGCCGCCAGCCUUACAUCUCCCCUGAUGGAGCUGCUGGGAUUGUUAAAGAUGGUCUGAGGUGUUGUGCCAAAUGAAAGGCUUGGAUGGGUUGACUGCUCCUUUCACAGAAGUGGAGUGCUAUUGCAGGAGCAAGACUAUCCUAAAUUUUUCUGAGGCCUGCAGCUGGGGUCAGGUUACAUCGUAUGAUGCUUGAAGAUUUGCCGAAUGGUAUUAUGGAUGAGAACUUCAGGUACUGUGAGCACGUUGCCAUUUGCUUUGAAAGAGUUUGUCCAUAUCAAAGAAGGGUUGCAGUUGUGGAGAAGAAAUUUUGUUGUCUCUGGAUGUAAUGAAUUAUUUUGAGUUCGUGAAUUUGUUGUAUGAUGCAUUUUUUAAUAUAGUAUACAGUACAUGAAA